rnacentral:lncRNA from 1 species
UUCUGAAGAUUUCCUAUGGGCUUUUUCAAUCUUUGCACUCCAAGAUUCUGAGGCGAGUGAUGAGCUCACCAAUGUUGGUAAAAAUGAAUUUGAAAGUCUAACUGGUUAUCACUGGAUAUCACAGAUGGAGAAUAAUUACUUGACAGAUUGGCAAACUGAGAUUAUCUGCAAAUAUUAUGAGAGACAUUGGAAGCUCUUCUAAAACACGCCAUUAUUUUAAAUAGCAUUUUGCAAUUGUGGUACCUCCCUUGUGGAUACUGUGGCUGAAUAUUGCAAGUAUGAAAAACAAUGCCAUAGUUGAAGGUUUGUCGCUGAAAAGCACCACCUCGUGUUUCCUACACCCCGCUUCCCACAGCAAGACUUAUUCUAGAGUAGAAAAUAUAAAUGAAGAGGUAAUAAUUAAUGAAACGUGUCUCAAAUGCAAGAAAUCCUACACAGAGCUAUAUUGUUCACCUUUAAUCACUGCAAAUGAAAUGAUGUUUGGUGGAUUUCCUGCAGGUUACCAAGAGGCAGACGGUUAAACCUUUUGCCUUGAGAUGUGCUCCUUCUCCCAUUAUUGGCCUUCAUCUUCUGAGCUCAGCUUACAGAGAGGUCAGUUUAGUCUCUGAAAUCUAAUUUCAAGAAUAAGCCACAAACAACAAAGAAUGCUGCCAGACUCUGGUCAGUCACGACGAUAAUAGUUUUCCUCCACUCAGCAUCUCAGCUGGUGAUUAUUCUUGAUAAAUGCAAAGCCCAUCUGUACAUUAUUGUGUCCAAACAACAAACCCGUAGCCAUGAGAGCAAUGGCUUGACCAAGGUGUUGCACUCAGGUCAGGGUAAUUCCUGAUACGUGUACAGUCUGGGAGAAGAACUCAUUGAGGGCAGCCCCGCGGAGGAGGACCCACGGUCUCUGAUAGAUAAUAGGCUUGACAUGAGCCACCAGUGUGCUCUUGCAGCCCAGAAGGCCAACAGUAUCCUGGUCAGCAUCAACAGAGGGGUGGCCAGCAGGGAGAGGAAGGUGAUUAUUCCCCUCUGCUCUGCCUUCAUGAGGCCCAGUACUGCAUUCAGACCUGGGGCCUCCAGCACAAGAAAGAUGUGGAGCUGUUGGAGAAUGUCUAGAUGAGGGCCACGAAGAUGCUCAGAGGGCUGGAGCACCUCUCCUGUGAAGAAAGGCUGAGGGAGCUGGGCUUGUUCAGCCUGGAGAAGAGAAGGCUCCGGGGACACCUCUCUGUGGCCUUCCAGUACUUGAGAGGAGUUUAUAAACAGGAGGAGAACCAACAUCUCACACAGUCUAAUAGCGAUAGGACAAGGGAAAAUGGCUUUAAACUAAAAGUGGGGAGAUUUGGGUUAGAUGUUAGGCAGAAAAUCUUUACUCAGAGGGCGGUGAGGCCCUGGCACAGCUGCCCAGAGAAGCUGUGGGUGCCCCAUCCCUGGAGGCACUCAGGGCCAGGUUGGAUGGGGUCCUGGGCAGCUUGAGCUGGUGGGGGGCAGCCCUGCCCAUGGCAGAGGGUUGGGGCUGCGUGGGCUUUGUGGUCUCUUCCAACUCAAGCCAUUCUAUGGUUCUUUGAUCUAUGAUUCCUGUGGCUCUUUUCAAAAAUGCAACAAACUAUUGAUAUUUUCAGACCAGAAAGCUAAACCAAAGUGUUUCUUGCCUCCUCCUAAAAUGGUUUGAAAAAAACCCUCUGAUUCUUAAACUUAGAAAUAUUAGUCCCAUAUUCUCUGUGAGAUUAGAAUCAGAAUCACAGAAUCGCAGUGGUUGGAAGGGACCUCUGGAGAUCAUCCAGUCCAUACUCGCCUGAUAAUACCAGUUCCCAAGAGUAAGUUGCAAGAGUUAGAGGAAGAGACUCCGAAAAUCUUCUUUUCUGAUCUCCUGCAUAAUCCAGUACAGAGAAUUUCACAAAAUCAGUGGCGAAUUUCUGUCUUAUGAGCAGUGUUGGCUCCUUGUACUCCACACAGCCCUCACUCACCCCUUUUGAUGUCAGCUGAAAGGGUGCUGUUGAAUUGGAGAGGACCCGUACAGAAGACAGCAGUUCCUGGAGUCCUACAAGACUUUGUCAGGGAGAUCUUGGUAUUUUACCUCAUACCUUCUUCAAAAACGAUAAACCAGAAGACAAGUAAACUGUGUUAUAACAUGAAGGAUAAAAUCCAUAAUUCAGGACAGCACAGAAAGCACCUGGUUUCGUGCUUCAUUUCCAUUUCUAAACAUAGAAGAGAUUCACAGAAGCAUCUGCUGAGCUUUUGAAUGACUUUGGAUCAGCCGUAAGUGCCUGUAUGCCAAAAGCAAACCAAGCACACACAUGAAAACAGGCAAAUUGCAGUGACACCAGGUCAGUUUACAUCCCAAACCGAUAGCAAGUCUGCUUUGGUAACGAAUGCACCCAAUAGAAAGAAUGCAGAAACUUUGCAUGUUCUUCACAGCAUGAGAAUGCUGAACAUUAAACAGUUGCAAAAAAUAUGUACUUAACCUUUGGGUUUUAUAUCUCUGCUUUUCAUUCUCUCCGCUUAUAGAUAAGGACAGUCAGAUUAGAUGGAGAUUUGCAAGUGGUAAAAGACGUUGUUGUUCAAGGAAUAGUUUCUAUUCGUUAUGGUAAAUACUUGGUCAAAGCAAAACUUGAGAUUUUGGGAUAGCCACGUUGUGUGCCUGAGAUCAGUGAGUUACAGCCUGAGGGCCACAGCAAAAUCAGGGGAAAUUUCAGAGAGCAGAUCAGACCUUUUGGAGUGUCGUUGACUGUACAGAAGAAAUGUCUUCAUUUGCUUGGUUUGAAGGGCUCCCAGGGAAAAAAAAAAAGUUUAUAUAUAUUACCUGGAGUACAGAAAUAAUGAGAAAUGUCAAUCUUGCUCUCUGCUUGCCUGGGGGAUUUUCUUCUCCUCAGAGGGGUGCAAUAUUCACCUCUGCUGGCUAUCUGAUAAAGAAAAAUAUGUGGUUAGACUGGAAUCACAGAGCCAGGAAGAAUCAGCCAAACCUGUCGAAGGUGAUGUCAUUUGUCACCCUCCAGACAUGAAAAAGUGGACAUCCGCCUGGACCUGCCACCACCCACCACAGACACCACUGGAGUCCAUG